rnacentral:rRNA from 1 species
AGAUUGAACGCUAGCGGGAUGCUUUACACAUGCAAGUCGAACGGCAGCGCGGACUUCGGUCUGGCGGCGAGUGGCGAACGGGUGAGUAAUAUAUCGGAACGUGCCCAGUAGCGGGGGAUAACUACGCGAAAGCGUGGCUAAUACCGCAUACGCCCUACGGGGGGAAAGGGGGGGAUCGCAAGACCUCUCACUAUUGGAGCGGCCGAUAUCAGAUUAGCUAGUUGGUGAGGUAAAGGCUCACCAAGGCGACGAUCUGUAGCUGGUUUGAGAGGACGACCAGCCACACUGGGACUGAGACACGGCCCAGACUCCUACGGGAGCAGCAGUGGGGAAUUUUGGACAAGUGGGGGAAACCUGAUCCAGCCAUCCCGCGUGUGCGAUGAAGGUCCGUUCGGGUUAGUAAAGCUACUUUUGGCGAGGAAGAACGGCGUAGACUAAUAUUCAGCGUCACUGACGGUACC